rnacentral:rRNA from 1 species
CAGUCGCCACGGUAAUACGUAGGGUGCAAGCGUUGUCCGGAAUUAUUGGGCGUAAAGAGCUCGUAGGCGGUUUGUCGCGUCUGCUGUGAAAACGCGAGGCUCAACCUCGCGCCUGCAGUGGGUACGGGCAGACUAGAGUGUGGUAGGGGAGAUUGGAAUUCCUGGUGUAGCGGUGGAAUGCGCAGAUAUCAGGAGGAACACCGAUGGCGAAGGCAGAUCUCUGGGCCAUUACUGACGCUGAGGAGCGAAAGCGUGGGGAGCGAACAGGAUUAGAUACCCCUGUAGUCCCUGUCUCUUAUAC